CGAUCAAUUUUGAUCGAAGUUCGAAUUUACGUUUCGAUGUUUUCAUAUCCUUACAUUCUCCCCUCCUUAAAAAUAGUUUCGUCCUCGAAACUAACUCAAAUUCAAACCCAAACUUAACUCAUACCUCACUCACUCCUCGAAGAGGUGAGGAUGAUGCGCUCUCAUCAUCUCCUUGAGUUCCCACGUGGCUUCGCGAUCGUCAUGAUUGCUCCAUCGAAUCAUGACGUAGGGAAUCUUGUGAUUUCUUAAUUUUUGCACCUCUCGAGCAAUAAUCGACACCGGAAACUCUUCAUAGCUCAUAUCCUCUUGAAGUUCCGGUGGCUCAUACAACAAAGCUUACUCGGGGUCGUGAAUAUACUUGCGAAGGUUGGAGACGUGGAAUGCGUUGUGAACAUCCGCGAGCUGGGGCGGCAACGCAAGCCGGUAAGCCACCGCUGUAACACGCUCCAACACCUCGUAGGGUCCAAUAUAUCGGGGACUUAGCUUUCCCCGAACUCCAAAGCGCUUUACACAACUCAUGGGCGAUACCUUCAAGAAGACGCGGUUGCCUACCGCGAACUCCAAGUCUUUAUGGCGCUUAUUCGCGUAACUCUCCUAUCUAGAUUGCGCCGUGAGCAAUCUUUGGCGAGCGAGGCGACCUUCUCUUCCGCCUCCCGCAAGACAUCGGGGCCUAACACCGCACGUUCGCCCACAUCACUCCAGUGUAUAGGAGAUCGGCACUUCCUCCCGUAGAGAGCCUCAAACGGUGCCAUCCCUAUACUAGCUUGAUAACUGUUGUUGUAGGCGAACUCGGUCAUCGGCAAGUGAUUACGCCAACUGCCCCUAUAGUCAAUGGCACACGCCCGCAACAUAUCCUCCAGAAUCUGAAUAGUUCUUUCCGACUGCCCAUCUAUCUGAGGAUGAAAUGUAGUGCUGAAAUCGAGUCGUGUGCCAAGUGCUUCCUGCAGGCUUUUUCAGAAAUGCGAAAUAAACCGGGGGUCUCGAUCCGAUACAAUUGACUUUGGAAUCCCGUGCAACCUCACUACCUCAUCAAGAUAUACCUGCGCCAAUCUAUCACCUGCCCAAGUCGUGUGGAUCGGUAGAGAGUGUGCUGACUUCGUAAAAAGAUACAUUCGCCCCAUUUCUUUCCACAGGGGUACUUGAUUGAUGACCCAUAAUGCGAGGUUCUCCGCCGACUUUCUACUAAGUGCAUCUGCGACUACAUUUGCCUUCCCGGGGUGGUAGAGGAUAGUCACAUCCUAAUCCUUUAACAACUCCAACCACCGCCGCUGCCUCAUAUUGAGCACCUUCUGUAUAAACAGAUACUUUAGGCUUUAGUGGUCAAUAUAUACCUCGCAACACGCGCCGUACAAGUAAUGCCUCCACAACUUGAGAGAAAAUACCACCGCGGCUAACUCCAAGUCGUGAAUAGGGUAGUUCUUCUCGUAGCUCUUCAACUGACAGGACGCAUAUGCGACCACCUUCCCGCCUUGCAUCAGAACACACCCCAAACACAAAUAGGAUGCGUCGCUAUAUACCACAAAGUCUUCACCCUGCACCGGUAAGGCGAGCACUGAAGUCGAAGUCAAUCUUUCCUUCAACUCUUUGAAACUCCGGUUGCACUCGUCGCUCCAAACAAACUUGGUGCCCUUCUGAGUCAGACGGGUAAGUGGAAUAACUAUUUUCGAGAAGCCCUCCACGAACUGUCUAUAAUAGCCUGCUAAGCCCACAAAGCUUCAGACCUCCGUAACAUUAGUCGGGCGCGGCCAAUCCUUGAUUACCUCGACUUUCCUCGGGUCAACAGAAACUCCACCCUCGGAAAUAACAUGUCCUAAAAUUGCAACCUCUUGGAGCCAAAAGUCACAUUUCUUUAACUUAGCAUAUAGCUUCUCCUCCCGAAGGACUUGAAGCACUAGUCUCAAAUGCUCGGCAUGUUCCUCGUCGCUGCGAGAAUAGACCAAGAUGUCAUCUAUAAAGACCACGACAAAUCGGUCCAAGUACUCUCUGAAGACACGGUUCAUCAAAUCCAUGAAUGCUGCCGGGGCGAUGGUGAGCCCGAAUGGCAUGACCGUAAAUUCACAGUGUCCAUACCGCGUGCAAAAUGCGGUCUUCUGAACAUCCUCCGGCUUUAUCUUUAGCUAAUGAUAACCGGGCUGGAGGUCUAUCUUUGAGUAAACCCGAGACCCUUACAACUGAUCAAAUAAAUCGUCGAUUUGGGGUAACGGGUACUAGUUCUUUAUCGUAACCUUGUUCAACUCACGGUAGACCACGAAGAGUCGAAACGAGCCGUCCUUCUUCCGCACAAAUAAUAUCGGGGCUCCCCACGGCGAUACACUCAGCCGAAUGAACUCUUUGUCGAGGAGAUCUUGCAACUGAGCCCUCAAUUCCUUCAGUUCUGCCGGUGCCAUACGAUACAGGGCCUUCGAAAUCAGCGCGGUCCCGGGAACCAAGUCUAUCACGAACUCGAUCUCCCGGUCCGGCGGUAUCGCCGGUAACUCCGCAGGAAAUACAUCCAGAAAUCCCCGAACCACAGAUAACUCCUCAAGUGCCGGAGCCACGCGGUCAACCUCCACAACGGUUGCCAAAUAAGCCGCGCAACCGCUGCUGACCAACUUCCUCGCUCUCGUCGCCGACAUCGUCGCGGCGAAGCACGAGCUCUUACAAGCUCGGUAAGCGAACUCCUCCUGUCCCGGCGCCCGAAAAGUUAUCACUUUACUCUUGCAGUUGAUAGACGCAUAGUACUUUGAGAGCCAGUCCAUGCCCAAUAUGACAUCAAAAUCUUUUAACUUCUUGAGCACCAACAUGCAGAUCGGCAUUAUCCAGUCGCCCAACUGAACUGGACACGCCAAACACUCCUUCUGAAAAACAAAUGCACGCCCAAGGCCCUCUACUCACCAAGUGCUUUCACUCAACCGGACUUCUAUGCCAUGCAUCUUGGCGAAGGGUCAACUAACAAAUGAAUGCGUAGCACCUGUAUCAAACAUAGCCCUGAAGCGAACUCCGUUAAUCAAAACCAUACCUACCACCACGUUGCGCUCCUCGGCCUCGGCAGGUUCCCUGGCUUGAAUGGCAAAUACCCGUCCGCUCAGAGCUGAUCAAGUCAUCUCGGGCUGACGCGGCGCCAUCGUACGUCCAGCAGGUGCGACCGUAGGUGGAGCUCCUCCAUAGUGUGCUGGUGUAACACACUGGACAUUUGUAAAUUACGAGGUUCGAGUGUUUGAUCAGUGUCCCGAAUUUUUUUAGAUAUUCUGGAGGGUCGUUGACAGUGUUCCGACCUAUGGCUCGUAUCCCGAGUAUUGUAGUAUUUAAAGUAGAGCUAAGGUCACCAAAAUGAUGUACUUAGAUUGCUCUCGGGUUGCCUUUUUCUGGGCUGUGUACCGAUACACCUUGAUGGUUGUACCAGUACAGAAAGUGUACCGGUGACAACUCGAUGGUUGUACCGGUACAAGUGAAAUUUUCUGCCAACCCGAGCCUCGGGUUUGCGCAUAUGCGAGAUUUGUACCGGUACACUUUUCCGUGUACCGGUACACUUUGCAGAAAAUACUAUUUUUGUUGGGGAUUGUAUUUGUAAUUGUUGCAACUCUUUAUAUGCCAUCCCAGCCCCCCGUAGAGAGCCUUUUGAGCCCUAUUUCGUGGAGAACCAAGUGAGGGCUUUCUCCUUUGAUUUUUGCUUCUCUUUGCUUCUCUUUACUCUUUGUUGGGAUUCCACCAUUGGAGAAGCUUUGAAGCUUUUGUUGGAGCUUGGUAGAGAAAGGAUCUUCAACCUUGGGGCAUUCCAAGUUUGGUUUGGAGCAUUUUGUGGGGUUAAUAUCCAAAAUCUUUCCUUUGGAUCAUGUUUUGGAGGAUUUUGAUGUUGUAACCCUAGAAUUGGAGAUUAGGGUUAGAAAUGGAGAUUUUUGAUUUGUGGCUUCUUGAACCAAAUUGAUUAGUUUAUGUAAAUUUUGGGGUGUCCAAGGAUCUAUCUAGAUUAUAUCUAACACCUAGAAGGGGGUGAAUAGGUGUAAUAGCCAAAAACCACAAAUCUCAAUGCGAUAAAAAUAAAUGCAGAAAAUAAAAAUCACACCGAGAUUUACGUGGGAAAACUCCAACUUGGAGAAAAACACACGGGACAACACGUGAAAAAAUAAUUCACUAAGAGAAAAGAUUACAAGAUGAUUACCGACUCCACGGACUCGACCUAUCUUAACCUUCUAUGAAUCUCGUGCAAUCCUCAGGGUUGUCCACGCCCUCACGUUCGACUCCACGAACAUCACGUUCCGAAUCCACGAAAUGCCUCCACUCCGAAUCCACGAAGUUCACGAUCCGAAUCCACGAACCGCCGUCAAUCACGCCGAAUCCACGACGCCGUCAUGAAAAACAUCAUAUGUACGGUGAUCCUUCGCUUAGAGUAGCGAUAAAAACCAGGGAAGUGAACUCCAAGCGAAGCGAAGAUCAAAUCGACAUAUAGAUAUGAAAUUCCAAUAUCUCGAUUUGACCUAAAAUAGGCUAAUAUGUAGAAAUAGGUUUUAGAUGAAAUCCGAGCCUCUAGGGUUUCUCAAACAUGUAUUUUCGUGCUGCUUGAUGUGUUAGAGAACCCCAAUAGCUUAUUUAUAGACUUUAGAAUCAAUUAGAUUCAGAUUAGAAAGUAUUUUCGAAAAUUACAUUGUGUACCGGUACACUUUAAGCUGUUACCGGUUAUACGAUGACGGAAGAGAAAACCUGCGUAAUGCUAUAACCGAUGACAAGUCGCUGGAUGUACCGGAACAGAAUGUGUACCGGUACACUUCCGAUGUUGUACCGGUAUACUUUGCAAAAACCUAUUUUUUUCAAGGUUUCGGGUUUUGCAAAGUACCAACGCACUUUCUAAUCCAGUAAACUUUGGUAUUAUGAUUCUAAUGCCUACAACUAAGUAUGAAUCACCAUAACAUGAAUUAAAACCUUACCUGGGCAUCGUGAUUCACAUAGUGAGUUAAUUCUGCUUUCUUCGAAGUCUUCGAUUCUUCAAUCUUCGAUGAUACGCACCAAUCCUUCAAGACUCCGACUCACUUCACGAAACUUGCCAACACAUAAGACUUAACAAUCUUCCACUUUGGCAAUUUCGUGACAAAACUCACAACAACUCAAAAAUUACAUCUUAAAGAAAAACGAAGUUCAAUGUCAUCACCAAAAUAUCGAACCCCUCGCGUGUAAUCCAAAUACAAAUUGAAAUCCAAAAUUACAUCAAAACUCCUAAAAACAGACUCUGUGACUUAGACACAACUAGGAGUCUUGAAGUCUUGAUUUCCUGCAAAAACAAGUUCUCCAAAAUGAUAAAGAAUUUUGAAACCAUUUGAUUUUUAUACCUUUCAAUGUCAUUAUCCUCGAUCACUUCUCCCCCUUUGUUCUUAAGUUCAUCCCCUGCUUUGAUCAAUACCUGUUCAUCUAUGCUCUCCCCCCUUUUUGUGAAAAAUUGCCAAAGACAAAGCAUAUAAACAGAGAAAACAAAUUAGAAAGCAUAAGAGUAUUCAAGUCAUAGUUACAGGCCUAAAGAAAAUGCAAAGACAAGCAAAGCAAAGAUAAGCAAGCAAAGCUAAAACAAAAACAUCAUCCUAAAAAGCAAAGUAAAAAGACAAAGCUCGAGGAAGAAGUCACUCAGUGUCCUCGUCAUUAUCAUCAUCAUUGUUUCCUGCUCCAGCGCCAGAUCUCCUAGCCUCAGGAGCAUCACUGCAUGGUGGAAUGAGUGGAUGUCUCGACGUAGACCUUGUGUAAGUGGUGUAGGUAGGCUGUGUAGGAAAUACAUCGUCAUGCCUACAGCCUAGCUUCUCCAAAAUCCUCUUCAUUCCCAACUCCACCUUCUUAGUAAAAUCUGCUACCUUCUUCUUUAAAGAGCGCACCUCAUGGUGAAGUGAUUCUACAGUAAUCACUCCCCUUGAACUGGAAGAUUCCUCACGCUUUGCUCGAGGUGGAGGUGCUGAACUAGAAGCUCCUCGGGAUGAUCCCUUAGUCUGCUGGAAAGUCUUCAGUGUGCUGACUGACUUGGCCCAAGUUACUGCAUCAAUCGGUCCAAGUCCAGUGUCGUACUUCUCACACGACACACAACUCCGUAUUCUUGUAGAAUCCUUGUGAUCAACAACGGAAAUGAAAGUAGAUCACGUCGAACUGGAGACUAUAUAACAUGUGUCAUUCUUUGCCACAUUAGAAAGAGAAUAUUGAUGUUUAACUCGUCCGCUUGCUCAGGAUGUCGAAGAAAAUAUAGAAGCACCAAACGAUCCCAACGAAUCCUUUUUGUUCCAAUUGUAGGUUGAACAUUGUAGCACAUCACCAAGGAGAGUAAAUGAUACUCGGGUCGCAAGUCUUUGGAUUCCACGUUUGCAUGAUUUGUGCACACUCCAUCCUUGCAGAUCGCACGAACAACUGUCUCCCAGUGAGACGAAGACUGAUAAAUCCCAGUAGUAUGAUGAAGUCCUGUCGUGUCAACAUGCAUGCCCAACAACUCUCCAAUCGUGUGAGGAGUGACUAGAAACCUCUCCCCACGUACAUAGGUCUCUAGAAGAUAAGUCUCGGUCUCUUCAUCCUCAGCACACACUUUUCCAUUCAUGUAGAACUCCCGAAUGAGUUCCACACAAAAAGGAGAUCGAGCCAGAACACGUCCAACUGGCUCAAUGGGGACCCUCUGAAGUAAGCGACCAAAAUCUAGAACCUCCUGGAUUAGUUCAUGGAAGUUGACAUAUCGCUCAACAAUGCAUAACCUGCUCGAAAACGUCCUUCGCCGCUCCGGUAGAACAUCCGCGGCUUGCUUUGAUCGUGUCUCUCGUGCACGAGAGCCACCUCCGCGAGAGGAUUCACCAGCUAUUCCUUUUCCUUUAUCAACUCGAGCAGUCAGUUCUUCAAUAGCCUCAGGCGAACUUGCCUGGUAAUCCGGAUCAGACCCGGGUGACUCGCCUGCAGUACGAGUCCUUUUGGACGUCCCUCGACGCUCGCGGCCACAUCCACGACCACAACCAGUGGCCAUCAGCACCAAAAUCAGCAAAACCAGCGAGAAUGCUAUUGAUUCUAUACAAAAAGUGAGCCAUGCAUGAAUAAAAUCUGAAAAAUUCUGUAAAAAUAGCGGAAAAAAUUCUAAUAUUAUUAGAAAGCAGAACAACGCUAUUUCUAACAGAAUCAUGCACAAAUUUUCAUCAAAAAUGACAUUUUAUCAAAAAUCCCAAAAUUUCAUGUAUAUUAAGGUACAGAUCACAGAUCAGCAAAAAAUACAACGUUAUAACCUGAUCUAAGUGUUCUAGAAGCAAGAUUAUACGUCUAAAUACUGAUUCACAGCAAAAAAUUGCAUAAAAAACGAUUAAGAAUAGAGAUCAUGCUUCAACUCGAAAAUUUUCAAAAAAAUUGCAAAACCGGGAUUAAAUAAGCAAAUCCCAACGAAAUACUUACAGAUCUAGGGGGUAAACACGUGAAUCUGAAUGAGGAAGGCACCAAGAAAUUUUAGAGAGAGAGAGGAGAGAUUUUGAUUAAGAUUUGAAAGAGAACCGAGCCCUGUAACCGGUUAUAAUAACGCGGUAUACAGUGUUUUGUACCGGUACACGUUAUUUUGUACCGGUACACUUUCACAAAUUUAGAAAAUUUGAAAAAUUUCCUUCAAAAACCCUUUAAAAUUAAAUUAAUGUCAUAAAAAUUAAGAAUUGUACUCCAAAAAUUAUUAUGAUGAAAAUAAACUAUUAUAGGAGGUCAAAAUACAUCGAAACAUCAAAAUUUGAAAUAAAAAAUAACCUAAUGUUUCAAACCCAUCAAGAUGUAAAUUGAUGAAAAAUAAUUUUUAGACAUUCAACAAAAUUGACACCAAUUUGUUGCAAUUCGUUCAAAAUAGAGAUUUAACUAAUAUGGCACCGGGGGUGGCUCUUUGAGCAUCUUUUCAACUUACCACCUUAUAACUCCGAAAAUUCUAAAAUAUUCAUUUUUUUUUUCAACUUGCUCGGCUUUUCAAUUAAAUUUUAUGUGGUAGCUUCACACACUUACCGGACAACCGGGGUUGUAACUCUUUCUAUGUACAUGUGGUGGUAGUUUUCACACUCCCUUUUCUUAGGAUGUAACUCUUUCCACAUCUUUUAAACAUAAGAGUAUCCUUUUUUUUAAUACUUCAAAACUCCUUAAUAAGACAAUUUCACAAUUAAAAAUAAUUUUGAUAAAAUUUUAGUUGAUUAGUGAAUAUCCAUCCAUCAUAUUCAACAUACACAACCAAGAUGAAUUAAUCACCAAAAGAUCAAACUUGAUUUCACAAUUUUGAUGAGUAUAUGUAUUAAGAAUUCAUAUAAUCAAUUAUCGUCAAAAUAAAAAAAAGUGGAGUAAAACCGAUAAUUAAUAUGAAUUUAAUUCAAGAUGAAUUCCGGUUAAGGCACUUUGAAAAAUUCUAACCUCUCCAAAAUAAAGAUUUUCAAUCGUCACCUUUCUCAAAGAAAAAAUUUUAAACUCCCAAACACCUUUCCUCAAAACAAAUUUUACACACGAAAAUCAUUAUGUAAUGCAAUGAAUUAAAAAAUAUGCAAUAAGCACCAAGCAAAGCAUUACAUAAACAAUCAAAACAAACUAAGAUGAAAAUAAGAAAAGAUAUCACCUUUCCGGAUCCACACUUGUCGGAUCGUUGGUUGUCUCGGCUUGCCGACAUUAGGUGCCGUUUGCUUUGAUUUUUGAUCCACCUUUGGUCGUUUCAUUGUGGGUGACUUCGAUUGAACUUGUUGAUAAGACUUUGAAGUCCGGUUUGCAUAUAGGUUCGGUUGAACUUGACGUUGCACGUGAGAAAAUUGGUUACCUCGAGGUGCUCGACUUAAUUGAUUUUUCUUUUGAUUUCAUGGAGGAAGUCGAGUAGUUGAGGGUACCGCUUGAUGUUUCGAAGUUGCUGGUUGAUUCUUUUUUCCCUUUUCCGGGCAACUUCUUUUGAUGUGUCCUUUGAUGCCACAUUGAUGAUACAUCUUCUCUUUCAAAGUUGUUGAGACUUUAGAAGUUGAUUUUGAAACGUUCUCAACACAUGUUCUCUCAUAUCCGAGGCCCAACUUAUUCGUUUGACCCAACCCGAGCAUAUGGUCCAACUUCUUCAAUCCUGAAAAGAAUUUUUGAAUAUCGGAUUGGAGUUGACGAACUUGAUCGGUCAAGGAUUGAUUGGAUUUGUGCGAUUCCUCAAAUUGAUGCUCCAAAAAUCCAAUCUUCUCUUUAGAUAAUUUGAUCGUUGAAUCCGCUUCAUCAAGCUUCUCUUGGAGGAUCAAAUUAUUCUUCGAAAUCGAUUCCUUUUCCUCCUCAAGAGCUUUAUUCAUUAUCUUCAAGUUGUUGUUUUCCUCUUCGAUAUCCAACAAACGACGCCUCAACUUCUUAUUAUGUUUCACCAUCUUUUUGGAUUCAAUAAGGAGUUGAUUAUACGCUUCCGCUAUAUCCUCGUUGUUUGAUUCCUCUUCGCUUUCGCCGUUAUCGCUCGAAGACCCAUGCAAGGAAGGAGAAAUACUAGAAUUAGUAACAAUAGAGGAUAAGCACAUAACAUUAGACGAAGGCAAAGAAUUAUUAGCAAUUAAAGCAAUAUGUUCAUUCUUUUCUUCGUCACUUGAAGAUGAUUCACUCGAAGUAGAAUCAUCCCAUGUUUUUGCUUGCAAAGCCUUCGGUCGAAAGGUUUUCUUAGAAGGACAAUCCGUUGCAAUAUGGCCGUAGCCUUUGCAUUUGUAACAUUGGAUUUUUCCUUCAAAUUCAUCUUUUUCUUUUGAAGACUUUGCAAGUUUCUUAUUCUUAGAUUUAGAAGAUGAAGAUGAUUUAGAAAAAGAUUGUUGCUUAGACAAUGAAGCUUUGUCCGAUUUAUUCUUUCAGAAAUUUCGACGAAACUUCUUCGUGAGGAGCGCGAGUUGAUGUUCGAAAUUUGUGAGCGAAACAUUUCCGUCGGAAUCCGAAUCAUCGUCUUCUUUCGUUGUCGAUUUGAGU
rnacentral:lncRNA from 1 species